CACUCCUACGGGAGGCAGCAGUGGGGAAUAUUGCACAAUGGGCGCAAGCCUGAUGCAGCCAUGCCGCGUGUAUGAAGAAGGCCUUCGGGUUGUAAAGUACUUUCAGCGGGGAGGAAGGCGAUAAGGUUAAUAACCUUGUCGAUUGACGUUACCCGCAGAAGAAGCACCGGCUAACUCCGUGCCAGCAGCCGCGGUAAUACGGAGGGUGCAAGCGUUAAUCGGAAUUACUGGGCGUAAAGCGCACGCAGGCGGUCUGUCAAGUCGGAUGUGAAAUCCCCGGGCUCAACCUGGGAACUGCAUUCGAAACUGGCAGGCUAGAGUCUUGUAGAGGGGGGUAGAAUUCCAGGUGUAGCGGUGAAAUGCGUAGAGAUCUGGAGGAAUACCGGUGGCGAAGGCGGCCCCCUGGACAAAGACUGACGCUCAGGUGCGAAAGCGUGGGGAGCAAACAGGAUUAGAUACCCGGGUAGUCCCAUG
rnacentral:rRNA from 1 species